CAGAAAACAGCCUCAGGACAGGUCCACCAACAGAUCUUCUGUGUCCCCUAGUACCAUCUGGAGGUUUCUGUGAAAGUCUCAGCAGCAGAGGUGUAAACAACCUCAUUGAUAUGAAACAUGGAAGACCCAGGAGAUCUUAAAGCAGGCAUCCCCUUAAACUAGAGGUCUGCCUGCCCACCAACAUUGCUACUCUGCAAUCCCAAGAGAAAGACCUUCGGUUUUCCAGAGCCUGGUCACCUGGUGAGGAAGAUGCUCCAGGGCCUUGGACUCUCCCGUUUUCAGCAACAGCAAAGUAACAACAAGCCACAGACCAGAGCAGAAACAUUUGCUCCUGGGUCUGUGGCUGAGCUGGAGGAAGGUGAGGGGCGGAGCAGGAAGGGGCGGAGCUGGAGGAAGGUGAGGGGCGGAGCAGGAAGGGGCGGAGCUGGAGGAAGGUGAGGGGCGGAGCAGGAAGGGGUGGGUGGAGAGGUGGGAAAGUGCAUAGUUCUUUUUCUAGGUUCCUGUCCUUUUUUUUGUUUUGUUUUGUUUUUUGUUUUAAACUACAGAGAACCUCAGCAAAUGCCCAAAUGCCAUGGAGUUACAGUCAAGUGUGACAGGAAACUUGACACUUGCAUGUGGAAUCCUGAGAAAUCGAAUGAGACAUUGGCAGACCGGGUUUCUGAAAAAGAAACAAACUAAUUAAAGGACUGCUUCCUUACAAGAUAAAGAAGUCUUUCACCGUGGGCCCCUCUGAUGUCUGAGACAUUUGCCUCUUUCUAGGUUCUGCACUGUCUACCAGCAGGAAAGGGGACUUUUCCCUGUACUGUUUGAAAAGAUGACUUCAGGUGGUUUCUGCUCAGGUAGCACAGGGGAUUUUGAGGCAAGCCCACACUGUCAACGUCACUUCCUUGGCAUCAGUGGGAUCUCAAACAUCCUGGAACAGGUUAUGUACUGCUAGAACCUCUCAUCUGGGCGGGAAUGGAAAUCCAAGGAUAAAUUCUAUUGUCUCCACUCAGUCACACAUACUUGUUGCCAAUAUCAGAGCUUAAUAUUCUAAUACAUGCUUAAAAUUCCAUACAUAU
rnacentral:lncRNA from 1 species